AAAGGGGUCCCACCAAGUGGGGGAGGAAGGAGCAGGGGGCAUAAUGGGGAGAGUGAAUUGCCCUGUGGUUCAUCAGGUGAAGCGCUUUCUUUGUGUUACACAGGGGGGUUCCUUAAGAUUUCUUCUGCCUCAAGGGUUCUAGGGCAAAAUGACAACACAGUUACGGAAACUGCUCAGAAUCCCUCCAAAUAUAUGGUGGUUCUCUGUUCCUUGGUCAAAACCAGAGAAGGAAAUUAAAGACACAAUGGCCAACACACUUUGGGACAUCUGGAUGAUUCUGAGUGAAAAACAAGCUAACUGUCCCUCAGAUGUUCGCGUUGCCAAGAAGGCUUGCGAUAGAUCGUACAGGCCCACGUGGGAUGGUUCCUAAAGGAUCGCACAGGGUCAAAGGGGUAGAAAACAAGACAGCCAAUGCCAAAUAAGAUAGAGGCAACUUCAGGGCAGCAAAGAAGCUAUGACUGAUAAAAGCCCCAAUCCUCUUCUCCUUUUACACUGAAAAACAGGCUUCAAGCAAAACAUCUCCGAGACACAAGAGGGACCUAUCAGAGGCAGGAGCAUCACCACCCUGAGCCAGGAAAGCAGAUUAGUGUACAGUCAUUUGGAAUGGUAAUAUUUGCUUCCCGCCCACUCCGUGCCCCCACUGACUCUGGGUUUGGCUGGGUAACUUGCUUUGGGCACUACAAUGUAGGGAAAGUGAUGGCAACAGUUCCAAGUCAAGGCUUUAAGAGGCACAACGUGUUUUUCCUCAUCCUCUCACACCCCAGCCAUCUGCCAUCUGCUCUGCUACCUCAGCCGGGGCCCCCAGAUCAGAAACGUGGAGGACCUAACCCACAACCUGGAGCAAAACUCAGCCAAGCCCAGCUGGAAUCAGCCAAACGCCAGCCAACCCACAGGCCCGGGGACAAGAAAUGAAUGCUUUUGGGAAGCAACAGGAGACUGGAGAUGUUUGUUACUCAGCACUAUGCAGCCAUCGCUGACUGAGACACGUGAUUAAAAUCAGUAAUAACCAGACGAUGAAGAAGCACUUGGAUCAGCUCUGCCUUCUAGGCAAGACCUGGCCUAGCCCAGUCUCGUUCCAAAAAACUGAUCUCCAUGGCAGUUCAAAUCUCUCCUGUCGCUGGUUUAGGACUUCAUUCCACAAACACGUACUGAAUCCAAACUGUGCUGGCCACUAGGAAUACAGAGGCAAAUGAGGACAUAACUAUGGCUAUAAGGAGCUUACAGGUUAUUUGACAGAGGCACAGAGAAGAAUGGCACAGGUGGCACAGGCAAUGACAAUGGCAGAACGAGCCUAGGAUGUCAAAACUCUGCCCACCAGGGUUGCGCCCACCUACGGCAGGGAGCGGAAUGCAGGGGUGAAACAAAGGAUGAUCAGGGAGGAGGACCUCAUGGGUAGGGUUGGUGUCUGAGGCCUGAACCCUAAGAGAGAAGCAAGGCUGUUCACGGGGAGCUCUGUCAUGGUGCACCUUUGACACACUCUGGAGACUUUCACUGCUACAGAUAAGACCGUGACUCCUCCCACUACUUGUUCACGUGUUCGAAAACUUUUCUUGGGCACCUACUAUGUGCCUGCCUUGUACUUCCAAUUCAGUAGUGGGCUUGAAAGCUGGCUGGUGUAAGCUGAGAGGCACUGUAAUCGUAAAAACACACUGGAAUUCAAAGGCAUGGUACCAAAAAAGGAAAAAAAAAGGAAUUAAAAUAUCUCAUAAAAUGUUUAAAUUGGAAACGUUGAAAUGUAUGGGGUUAAAUAAAAUACAUC